rnacentral:lncRNA from 1 species
ACUGUAGAGUCUUUGUAGAGUAAAAUCUUUGUUCUUUUCUUAAUCUUUGAGAAGCUAAUAUGGCUGUUUAAUGAUGUGUGGGAUUUCAUAAGUUUGCUGUGGUUUGUGUGCACUCCACAGGAAUAAUUUCAAUGUGUUGAUCAUGAAACAACUGAUGUUUACUUAAAAAUGCAUAUUUAUAUUACCUCUUAAGCAUCUGAUUUUUUAUAGGUGUUUCUUUUGUAGUGGCCACUUCUAGCUGGCUGCUCUUACACCUUUUACAAUAAUAUCUAAACGUUCUUUUAAUCCUUAGACAAAUAUAUUCUCUGGAGGAAGAAAUUUACAUUAAAGAUUGAUGACAAUAUAUAGGAGGAUUUUCUUUGCUUCCUCCCACCCUGUCCAUACAAAUUGGGUUUAUUAAACCUAAACAUAAGAAUAUUGGGGAUCAUUCAGUUUUGCUGUCUGGCCUGUGAUUUGCUGCCAACACGUUAUGCUCGUGCUGUUGGAGGUUUAAUAAAGUGUUGACUGACUUAUACUAAC